AUUUAUAGUAUCUUGAAAUUUCAUUGACCUAAGAGAUAUUUCAAAUCUGGGGUUUCAUGUUUCAUGCAAUCAUGUAGGUCUACAAAACUUUAUUUAAAAUAUUUGUAAAAUCACAAGCCCCCCUCAUAGGCAAAUAAAUGUAUUGUAUGAAAAUAAGAUAUGUAUGUCCUUCUCUUGACCCACACUCCGUAAAGGAGACAGGUCUGAUAAAUCUAGAGUUGACUUGUUUUGAUAUUAUUAGAAUGAACAGGCAGUUUAUGAAAACAUAUCUGUCAUCUCAUAUUGUAAUAUGAUAAUUAUGAUGUUUAUUCACCUCAUUAAGGACCCGGGGGUGGGAGAGUAUGUACACUUUAAAUAGAAGGUAACUAUAACAAUAUGAAAUAAAUAACAAUCAUGCAGAUGUACUACUACUGCAAGAGUUCACAUUGCUGCACUGCACACAUUUAACAUACAUGUAGUGUUACAUAUGUAAUACUGAUUUCAGACAAGAUUUUAAAAAUUAACAUAAUAAAAUACAUGUUAUGUGUGUAAUUUUCAAUAUAUCAGCAUUUUAAAGUUCACUAAACAUGCAUUGAGACACACAAUUUUAAAAUUGACAUUGUCUGACACAGUAUAAUUAAUGAUUAAUACUGACUGUGCAAAUAUUAAUUAUGAUGAUUUUUUUCUAAGCAUCAUCCUAAGGGCCAGUGCAAGUUGAAAUGGGCUUCCAGCCAACAACUUCAACAGCAAUUUGCCAUGAAAAUCAGCAAGAAAGGUACUUCAUUUACAUUGAUGAUGUCAUAUCCCCUGGACCCCACAACUUUACAGGUUACAGAAAAAAUUCAAGAACUUCUGCAAAAUGUGGGACUUGGAUAGAAUCAAUAAUGUAUUUGUGAGCCCAGAGCAAUGGAUAUAUUGUGCAACAUACUAAAGUGUGAAUUUAAUGGAAAACAAGUACAUGUACUCAUGUAUUACAUGUCUUUUUUAAAGACAAUAAUAUUGUAUAAAUAUAGAGGAAGUGUCAUUGUUGAUUAUUCUAAGUUUUUGAUAUAUCAAAAUCAGUAAACAUUUCUAAAUGAAAAUAAAAUACCAAUUUUAUAACU